rnacentral:rRNA from 1 species
UACGUAGGGACCGAGCGUUGUCCGGAAUCAUUGGGCGUAAAGAGCGUGUAGGCGGCCUUUUAAGUCCUGCGUGAAAUCCUGCGGCUCAACCGCAGACGGUCGUGGGAAACUGGAAGGCUAGAGUGCGGGAGAGGAGAGUGGAAUUCCCGGUGUAGCGGUGAAAUGCGCAGAUAUCGGGAAGAACACCCGUGGCGAAGGCGGCUCUCUGGAUCGGUACUGACGCUGAGGUGCGAAAGCGUGGGGAGCAAACAG